GGCAGGCGCGGGUCAGAACGCGCCUUGUGAAAACCAGAACUGCACGGCUCCGGGCAGCCGCACCGGGGACGCUGGUGCCUGGCUCAGAUCGGUCCCAGAGCGCUCAUCAACCGGAAGCAAAAAUAAUCACAGGCAACGGGAAAUUCUGGUAUUUUAGGACUUGUGUUCCUGCCAAGCCGGGGCAACACUGACAUUCCAUUGUUCUUUAAAAAUAAGAAGUUACCAAGUACUAAGGAUUCAAAAAGCUGGCCCUUCCUCAGUGCUUCUCUGCAGCUCCCGGAGCUCAGGCACGGCCGGGCGCUGUCGGACCUGCCUUUAGGCAUCACCUCUUGUGACAGCCACUUCCAUCCACGGACGGAGCCAGCACGGGUGCAGCACGAGUGAUCCAGUCCUCACUCGAGAGCCCAGACUAGCCCUCUGAGGAAAACAAAGCCAGAAGGAGCUCCCAGCCCUCAGCAACAAAAAGAGGAAAAAUAAUGAUGAUUGCACCAGGUUUGUUCCUUUAAAAUUUAUUAAACUGCUGGUGUUUGAUUAGGAAAAAAAAAUAAAAGUGUAACAAAAGUUACACUGUUUUGGUAAGAAUGUGAAGGAAAAAUCUCUAACUGCCCUAAUCAAAGAUCUUCGGCAAAGAUUAGUUAUUUUAAGUCAUUGGAAAAGAAGUCAGUGUGAGAUUUGCCUUCAGCAGCACAGAAAACAUCUAAAGCCAAACCUAAAGCCAAAUUACCAGUGCCUGAACUGCUACUUUCCACUUUGGCAAGCCCAACCAGAGGUACAAACUUCUUUUCUGCUGUCAUUGCCAGGCACUGUUAUCAAAGCCAUUCCAUUGUGCCAGUCCAGAGAUGCAGGUUGUGAAAUUUUUAAAGGUCAGUUCCUUAUCCAGGAGCCUCCGUGUUUUCAUUGGAUGUGUUCUUCCUUUCAAAGCUUUUAUGGCCUUGUGAUAAUCCCUUUAACAAAAGGCUCUCCAUCACCCUGCUGGCUGAGAUUUGUGCUUUCUAAAAUCACUGCUGUGACUAGAUAAUUUCUUGGGGCUGGGGCACUAAAUUAAUGUUUUGCCCAUAUGAGAAGUCUAAAGGGAAGCCCAUGUUUGCUUUGUAAACCAACAAAAUGAAAGCCACCUUAGAAGAAGGUGGUGCUGACUGACUGCAGCUUCCUUUGCUGAGCAUGAUGAGAACAAGGGGCUCCCAAGGACUGGUAUUUGACCAAGAGUACUGGGCUGAACUUUCUCACCCUAACACAUGUCUCAGGCAGAAAUAUUUAUUUAUGUGAGAAGUUAUACUUCUCACAUUCCUCCUUGGGUAAAGCACUCAUACAAAUUUAGGCACCCUGGGUAAACAGCACGCUGGUUUUCCCAGUGGUUUCCACUCCUCCUGCACCAUAUAAAGUUGUGUCCCUCUCCCCUCUGCACUUCCCCAGGAGUUCUCUUUCUUUAUCAUUGGUACUGAAGCACAGCUGCUGCUGUGGGACACAGAGCUGCUGAGGAUUCAUAAGCAUCCUGGAAGACUUCUUUGGCCACUGAAAUAUUUUGACACACAAAACUAUCCAUUUGUGGGGCUAUAAUAUAAAUAUAAAACACAAUACUGGUAACUAGACAUUUGUAACUGGGCAUCCUGCCCAGUUCCUGACACAUUAUUAAAAUUAGUUCGAGGCUACAUGUCAUUUUUGAGCUUCAACAUCUCUGAAACAAUUACCUGAGACUUUGUGAGGAAAUGUGACCAAUUUGCUUUGCAUGGUGGCAACCAACAGCAUACAGACCACACUGAUGUGUUUGUGCUGCAGCACCAGUUCUUCUUGGGAAAGAAAAUCUGUAAAGGCAAGUUUCAGCUAGAGAUUGGCAGCACAUACAGGGCGCCAAGAAGGAAGAGACAAAAGUGGAGGAAACUAAUCCUUUCCAGAGAAUAUUAAUUAUUCAGUGUGCUGAUACAGCAUGGGACAGCAGUCUAAUGUGUCACAUGUUGCUGCCCACAGACCAACACUACACCAGAAAUAAGGCACUGGGGAAAGCACCACAAAACCAGCAAGAACAUGAUACAAACACAGCUAUCCUAACUUUUUCCCACACUGCUUGGAGGAUUUAAAUUGUGGAUUUCAAUAGUUACCAGCCUGUUGAAAAUCAAGGCUGUUUCUCCAUGCUUCAUUACUUUCCUCUUAGAGCAGGUAUAAUAGUACUUUUAAGUUCCAACUCAUGUAAUUCUGAGAGCAUUUUUGAUUUCUGCUUUUGUGUAAGACCCUUUCCUCACCACAGUCUUUUGAGCUGGGUUUGAACUCACUUUGCAGCACAGGGGGAGAGUGCAAAAAUUGACCAAAAAUCUACAAGAAGAUAAAAGGGUGGGGAGUUAUUGUCUGCACAGACAGGGAAGAGGAGAGCUCAGCUUUUGUUUACAGAGAAUUCUGUCCCCUUUCUGCAAGGACCAGAAAGCUCACACAGAAAACCUACACAGAAAACCUAACCAGCUAAGACAGAAGAGGCUGGUAAGGCAGAGCUCCAAACAAACACCACUUACUUAAAAUAUCAAAGAACAAAGCAAUCAACAAUACAAAGCCUGGCAAAGGAAAGGUGCUCUCUUUCUCCUUGCAGAUCCGGGUUACAGCAGCCACAACUCCUGCAACCACAUCAUUACUCAGUUCUUGAUCAGGUCAGCUGCACAAAGGUUCAUUAAAUAUUUACAGGUGACAUUUUUCUGACUUGUGACAACCAGGAUCAAGAUAACCAUCCAUUUUCUACAGCCACUCUGUUCAAAUCAGUUUGAGAAAGCAAGCAACAAGAAAAGAACAAAUAGCAACAGAGCCCACAGGAUGAAAAUUGCCAGGUUUCUGACCAGCUACCAAUAAAAAUCUUACCCCUUGAAAGCAACAGAAAACAGCCACAGUUAGAGAUCUCUUCAACAAAUUCAGCACCUCUUAAAGAGUCUUCAGGACUAAGAAUAUACAGAAUAAACCAGCAAUCAAUUUCUAAUCACAGUAGUUACUGGAGAUUUUUGUGAAAUGGCCAGGUAUGAUAAUGAGCUGAAUUUUUUACAUGGGACUAAGCAACAAGCAGAAGAAAGAAAUCUCACACAUGCUGACACGUUUCCCACAAGAGGAUGUCUCAGGAGAAACCCUGUGAAAGUUAUUUCUUUGAGUGUUGUGCAAAGAAUUUACUUGCACUACCCAGUAUCUGGCAAUGCACUAACAAAGCAAACUCCUUGUGUAAAUGAGAUUUAAAUCACACUGCUGUGCUGAGGAGCUCACCACUGCCAAGAUAAACAGACACCAAGUCUUAGUUUGUACAUUCAGACACGCUCAGUUACUUGGCAAAAAGGCUUCCACCACAGAAAUUUCAGAGUUAAAAACUGAAGGUGAGCUUGAGAAUAGUAAAGUUUUCUUCCCACAAUCCUGGCAUUUUAUUCCUUUUCUGACACAUGAAAAUAGUGGGAUAUCCAGCCCUGAAGACAGCCUGUUACUAAACCCACAUAAUUGGUGUACUGACAGAAAUACAGGCUCCCUUUACCAGAACCUUCUUUGCUCUUGUACCCAGGGGCUUCUCCAAGCUCCGAUUCAGCUUUCCUGCCUUUGCAACUCCUGCCCCUCUGCAGGGGCUUUCACCAGCCUCCCACAGGCAUUGCUGGUCUUGAACUGAAGCAUGACCUGUAUUUGGGAACACAGACACAGUGCCCCCAACCCCUUAGGACACAGAGGGUAACAAGAGGGACUUGAUUUGAAGUAUCUUCUCUUACUUCUCUUUCACAACUACUAAUUUCUGCAGACAGAGCAAUUUCUGCAGAUUAAUGAGAAUUAAAGUUGAAAGCGCUCUUUGCUGUGUGACACAGGCACAGUGCCAUGGUGUCUUCCUCAAACCAUCCAUAAAAACAAGCAGAGAAGACUGUUUCCUACACCUUACACCAGGCUGGCAGAAAUAACUGAGUGCCAUGGAGCUGCCUUGCAGACCAGGAUAGCUCUGCCUCAGAGCUGUUCAGAAACGCUCCAAGUACUUGUUGAACAUGCUGACAUUUUAAAAAGAAGUCACCCGUAUUUAUCUUUUCCAAUUAUCUCCAUAAAUACAUAAAAUAAAAUUCCUUGUUAAGGUCAAACACUUCUAAAUAUCCUGGUUGAUGCAAGCAACCAGGGUUUGCCUCAUCAGGUUUACACAAGAUGCUAACAGACAAGCAAAAGCAGAAUGCCAUUUUCCAGUGGACAGUGUGGGAAAACACUCCUUGCCUAGUUAUAAACAAGGAAUCACUGUAUUUCACUCAGGUCAUACCAUUUCCAUUCCAUUUCCUCACAGAACAAGUACCUAUCCAUAAAAAAAAAAAAAAAAAAAAAAAAAAAACCAACCAGAUGCUAUAGGAAUGCUGAUUUCACACAGGAUUUUCUCAUAACUGAGAAUGACUUAGUUACAGAUUAACUUUGCCCCAGAGCAGCAGAGCAGACAUAAGAGAUGAACACACAGCAAGCCUUUGCCACUGGUUAUUUUUGCUGUGCAGAACCAUUUGGGAAAACCUACCCUACUGCCAAGGUGUGAUGAACAUUCAGCACACUGCUUCCAGUGUGUGCCCAAAGUCAGUGUGUGUUGUCUUUGAAGCAGGUCAAUCUUUAAAAGGGUACUAGCUACUUUAAAUAGAACUGGAAGGGCAAGAAUACAAAGUUCUUGAGCAAAUAUUUUUCCUUGCUGGCACCCAGUCCUAUAUCUUGUGCUAGCUCUGCUGUCUCCACCUUGAGCCAGGAGCAGAGAUUAGCAGGAGCCAUUCAGCAGUUGCGGAGUUCUGGCAGUUCAGGCCACUCCAGGUGGUGGGGAAGGGAAUCCUUGCUGCCGCUUCUGCUCCGAGUUUGGAGUAGAAAGGCAGCUCCCAGGCUCCAAAACAGACACUGCCAUGAGCUCCACCACCACAGCAGAGUACAAACAAGGUGACCACUGAAUGAAAAGAAGCUCAGCACAUUUGCUCAAGGCCUCCUAGCAGAAAGCUCAAGACAAACCCCAGCUUUCAGCAAACAGGAAAAAUUUGUGUGGACCAAGCACAAACUGUAGUUAGAUCACUGCUGUGCAAGAGCACCAUCACAAUUCUCCCAGCAGUACACCAGGCUCAGAUUAAACCAGUAGUUAAAGGAAUUAAAGUCAGGACUUCCUAUUUAAAAAGACACCACAAUCUCCUGUGGAUAACAACCCACUGAAGUAGCUGAGCAUUUGCAGUACGUCUAACACCCCAGUAUGCCAGUGCCAGGGACCUGGAUAAUUGCUAGAGCUUUAACUUCAAACAGAAAUAGCUACUAAAUUGAAAGAAUUGAAGUUUUUCUUAGUACAGACAGUGUUCACAGGGCAUAAAAAAAGCCCCCAAAAAUUCUGUAGGGGAAAGAGCUGCAAAGACUAUUAAAUGUGUUCUGCCUUGGGCUCAGAGAGAGAUGAGAUACAAAAUCCCACCAGCUCUGAAGGCAGGAAAUUGUCACCUCUAGCAUUUUUCUUUCCCUGUUCACAUCAUGUCGUAUUACAGUGGGAAUUUUACUGUCUCUUCUUCAUGUAGUAGAGCUAAACACCUUUUAGUUGUGCAACCUCUCACCAAUAAUACUAAGUAAUUCUCACUCUGACAACAAAACGUGAAACAAGCGCCACCCCCACUCCAAGAAUCCCGGCCCCGGAAUGUUUUUCACGCGAGUCCCCAAAGGCACAGCCAAGGCAGUCGCUCCUCCAGCUCCUCCUGAUGGCAAACCACGGGCACAGCACUCUAAGGAGGGACUGGAUGGGAAUGCUGAUGUCAUCCGACGCCAAAUGCCAUAAAAACCAAGACCGAAGCAGGGUUUGGUGGAAGACACCACCUGGUUUGCUCAACUGCUGGGAUCAGCAGAGGGGCAGAUGCAAAUGCACAGGAGGCCUUCUCUGGGUCUGUGACAAAUCUCCAGCUGAGCACUAGUUAAGACCAAUGGCUCUGCUUUAAACUUACUGUCCAACUGGCUUAGUGAAGGAAAAACAGGGAAUGAAACCCACAGAACAGAGGAGGCAUGUCAACAGUGAGUGAGAUCAGGCUGUCAGGCUGUGCAAGACAGGAGAGAGAUUAAGGCAGCGAGGGACAGAAGGUUUGAAAAUAGCUGAAGAUGCGAAGAGUGACUCCCAUUUAUAUAUUCAUCAGCUCAAGAAUUGAUACAGCUGCCUGGGAUACUUUUCCUUUAACAGCAAAAAAGAAAGGAAUCCAAACAAUGAUAACAGAGAGAAAGCGCAUGGGAAAACAAAACACACAGAAGUACCCUCUAGGUAACAAACAUUUUAUUUAUUUCUUAAUGAAACUACAGCAAUAUCUGCGAUUACAUAAUUAUGAAGCACUGAAAAACCAAAGGAAUGAAAUGGCCUGGGUCCAAGCACUAAGGACAUCACACCUUGUCUCUCACCGAGCCAUCACUCAGAAAAAUCACAUUAUCUGAAAAGAAAUUUAAAAAGUUAAUCUUGAGGAUUGUUUUGCCCUGUUGCAAGCCUUCACACCAUGAAGACCAGCUAUUUGUGUUAAAAUAAGCUGCUAAGAUGUGGAUUUUGGAACAGAAUAAUAGUUCAUAAAACAAAACAGUGUCCAAUACAGGGUUUUUUCUCUACCUGCCCUGAAUGCAGACAAUUCAAGGUGGCUACUAUGAAACAAGUGUGCUAAAGCUGAUGAAAAGCUGCUGAACAGUCAAAGACACUGGAAACAUUUUAAAAUAAUGGUUUAAUUCUUUGAGUACAAUCUUUAUCAGUUACAGCUUAUUUCCUUUUUGUCAUUUUCAGUCUGCACUACCCAUGCCAAUAGCCUACAGACUAUAGGAAGCUCCCAUUGCAUCAAACCGCACAAACUUCUAAAGCAUCUUGAGACUGGGCCUUUUCAACAAGAAACCAUUAGGAGAACACUAAUUAAAAAAAGAGAAUUGCUUCUCCCCUCCAGUAAUUUAUAGCACUGCUAGCUUUUAAAGAGGCUGCAGAAACAGCCUCCAGGUCUAUGGCUGUUCUUUUUCCUUUUUGCCCCCCCUCCUUUCCCUCUGUCCUAGUUUUUUUAGACAUACUUGUGUAACAGAAAUGUUUGCUCUACUACCCAAUUAAUUUACCCCUCACUCAAAAGCAACACAGUAGCAGCUCUAUCCACAAUAAAGAUGUAAGAUGCUCAGGCUAUUUAAAUACUCUGGGAAAAGUUGAGUUUCCUAGUGUUCUGUUGUGUUUAUCCAAGGCACAAGUCUACUCCUCAUCCAUUCUGUGCUCUUCUUACCACUCCUGGCUACCAGAACAAAGUGUUUCUAAGUUCUCCAUCAAGUUAUCUGCACAUCUUUCUGAGGUCCUUAAUGGUGACAUCUCCAGUCUUCAACAGGAAUAAAAAAAUUCUGGCAAACUGAGACAAA